UCGUGUCGUGAGAUGUUGGGUUAAGUCCCGCAACGAGCGCAACCCUCACCUCUUGUUGCCACCAGGUCAUGCUGAGCACUCUAGAGGAACUGCCCCGGUCAACGGGGAGGAAGGCGGGGAUGACGUCAAGUCAUCAUGCCCCUUACGUCCUGGGCUACACACGUGCUACAAUGGCCGGUACAAAGGGAUGCCACACCGCGAGGUAGAGCUAAACCCAAAAAGCCGGUCUAAGUUCAGAUUGGAGUCUGCAACUCGACUCCAUGAAGGAGGAAUCGCUAGUAAUCGC
rnacentral:rRNA from 1 species